UUUUUUUCUUUUUUCUUUUUUUUAAUUUUAAAAAAUGUCUUAGAACACCAUCAGUUACAGUUCCAUGGCAAGAUGCUGAAUGGAUACAUCCAUAACCAAGCCUAGACAUUCACAAAAUAACAUCUAAACCAUGUUUCAGCCUAUGAUAUAAAUAAAUGAGCAGCAGACUAGCCAAAACCAAUUGCAGUAUUUUCAGUUCAUGUUAACACAGCUAUAACUCAAAGACAACCAGCCAGGGCAGAACUGGAUCAGUGGCACAGGAGAGGGAGGGCUGCAGAUCUCUCCUCCCACUGCUGACAAGGAACAGCCAAGACAGCAACAGACCUCACAAGGAUUUAAAACACAGAAACCAGCUUCUUUUUUUAACUACCUACAUCUUAUUCCAGCUGGUAGCAUCCUGUUUCUGUAUUUUGACUUAAUGUCACAUUUCCCAAAAGUGACCACGAUAAUUUUCUGUGUAGAGGGAGCUGGGCCCUCUUCUGCAUUUCCUACACCUGUACAGUGCACUUCAGCUUUGAGGUGCAGUUUAAGCACGUGUUUGAACUCAAAAACCACCAUUUAAAACCAACUGUGUAUAAAGCACAACUUUCUGUUUGAUGGUGUAAACUUUUCCUGGAUACCACCUGAAUUUAUUUAAACCAAAUACCACGCAGAAUAGUAAUAAUGAAGGAAUUUUUGGUACCUAAAGAGGUUUAAGAACCACCCUGAGAGCAUUUACACCUCACCCAUGAGUCCCAGCUCAGCAAAACCCAUGAAGCAAAGGGACACAACAUCCUUUUGGAAAGGUCUGUUAGAUGCAUGAAAACACCAUGCCAGGGCUUCCAGCAUUUUCCUGCCAAAUUGACACAUGAAUAGAAAGGGGGGGGAAAGCCCAGCUGGAAACAGCCUCACAGCAGUCAAAGCAAGAAGAAAACCCAUACAGAGCAGGGCAAAAAUACAAAUUCUGCUCAGCUGUAAGAGAGGAGAAAAAAAUGUAUUAUAAAUAAUUGAAAAAGCUUCCAAAGACCAUUGAAUACCAUCAGUGGAAUCAAAAUGUAAUAGGAUUUUUAAAAGAAUUGUAGUGUCAGAACAAUACAAAUGGCUACAGGAUCAUAAUUCAUAUGAAAAACCCAGGUCAAAAUAGUCCAGAGCAGUCAUCCAAACACACUAAAGCUCUGCAGAUGUUCAUGCAGCUUUCUCAUGAAGAGAAAACUGAUGGGGAGAAGAGUUGAUGCAACACUGUUCAAUUUGGGACAAAAUAAUACAAGCCCCCUGAAGAAAUCAGAGAUAUGGAUUGCAGGAGGCAACUUCAAAAAGCAAGGACAUGAGUGCACAGUCUGUCUUGAGGAGGGACAGAGCAGGGACUGGCUCUGAGAGUGUAAAGGCAUCCCCCAAGCUGGCCCACACCGGGACCUUCACUCACACCUGUGAGGAGAGGACAACAUCCACAGGCAAGUGAAAAUUUGACCCACCAAACUGUUUUCAUCAUCCUGAGGACAACACUGUCUCAAAAGUAGUUCCCAAGUUCUUCCACUGUACUCCAAGCAGACCUCCUUUUUCACAGGGCUCAACUGAGCUGACCCUCUAGGAGUUAUUUUGGAUCCCUCUCCUUCCGGCCAAGAGGAUUCUCCUUGCAAUUAUUUUAUUAUUCAAAUGUUUAAAUACUGCUCCUUUUCCAAUUCAAUCAGGGCCUUAGUUAUGACACAGUGUCAGUUAUUACAUAAUGUCACUAGGUAAGGGGCCAAGGAACAUGUACUUCUCUGAACUACCCACACAGCCAUCAAGAAUUCACCUUCAACAGCCUUCAAGCUUUACAUAAUUUGGCCUGCUGAUAAUUUGGGCAGAAACUCCAUGAAAACCAUCAUAUUUCAAAGGUGCUUAUAUACUGAAGUGUCCAAGGCCAGGCUGGAUGGGGUUCUGAGCAAUGUGGUCUAGUGGAAGGUGUCCCUGCUUGUGGCAGGGCAUGGAAUGAGAUGAGCUUUAUGGUCCCUUCCAAUACAAACCAUUCUGGGAUUCUGUGAUUCAGCAGCACAGCAUCAGCUCAGUACCUUUGAAAGCCUCUCUAAAAGGUUGUCAAGGUUUUGUAAUCUUCCCCAGGGACUUGCCUCUAAAGUUUUUUUAACCCUGUCACAUUUAUUAAUUUGGGAAGUGAUGCAGUUGCUUAAAUUCCAUUAAUAUUUUGUCCAUUGUUUUGGUGUUAUUUCCCUCCUUGUGUCCAGCAAGGACUGGGUGCAGUAACCUGAGGUCUCCAUGUCCAACUCUGCAGGUCCAGCAGGACCAUUAUCCUGUCCAGGGUCCGUGAUUCCCCAUGACAGAGACACUUGGACACAGCUGCAUCCCAUGUUAAAAGGCAGCUGGACACUGUUGAGCUCAAAGGCCCUUUACUCCCACAUUUAGCUUUCUGCACAUGAAAACAGCAGCUGCUUUCCUGAGAGUCAAUUCUGCAAACCCUUAAUGGGCUUUCUCUCCCUCUUCUAGGGUCAAGUGUGAGGAGGAUUCCUUUUUAAAAUUAGAAAAAGAGAUACGUUUAUGAAGGCUGAAUCAAGCUGGCUCUCUUAGAUACACUUUUAUUAUGUUAGGAAAGCAAUACUGAGACUAAAUUCAAAAAACAUUGAAAUGGAUAUUAAAAAGGAGGGGGAAAAUAAAGGAAAAUGGGAGAACCAAUUGUGCAAUGUGCAAGGUCCUGCAGACCGAGCACCUCCCUCCCAAACCCAUGCCUGGGAUGGUCAUGGCUGUGCAAGGAGCUGUAGCUGGAAGCUGAUUCAAUGUUUUUUUUGCAAGAAAAACCAUUUAACUGAGUCCAGUUCCCUGGAACAGCAUUUAACUCAAAACAACACAACUGUAAAUGCUGGUGUCAUUUAUAGCACCUGUAAAUCAUCCACUGCCAGACAACUGAUAAACCCAGGCUCAGGAAAAUCAGCGUCCAGAGCAAUAUGCACCAAAACAUCAUAAAUCCUUCUCACUAUUACAGUAUUUUUCCAUUCCCAUGUCAUAAGUGAAUUCUGUGCAACUGAAUUAUAAUACUGUAGCUGAGCACUUACCAAUUAUAUUUUAAAUAGACUAUUUAAAGGUACCUUUACCCCACUGCAAAAAACAUCAAGACAUUGGCAACAUCAGAGAAGCAUCCACCCCAGAAAUAAUAACUGGAUUAUUCUGUCUUGACUUUGUUUCUCUUCAGUUGCAUGUUUUAUAAUUAAAAAUUACAUGACAGAAAGCCACUAUUUUCUCAUCUCCAGUGAAUCAUUUAAUACAUAUGUCAGUGCUCAUAAAAAAACCCUUACUGCAUCCAGGUGAAGUUGACAGCCUCAAAACUCCAAAGGCUGAAUCCAGAAUGUCGCUGUGAGAGCUUGAAGCUAAAAAGCAGCAAGGACAGAAACAUUGCCUCUGGUUCAUCAAGAACAACCAGUUUCUGUUCAAGGCCAGCCUGGACAGGGUUUGAAGCAACCUGGGCUACUGGAAGAUGUACCCCACAGCAGUGGGCAGAACGAGAUGGGAUCCUUCCCAACCCAAUACUGUUCCAGGAUUCUAUGACAGGUUCUAAAAUAUGUUGAAAUAACAACUGAAAAUGUUAAGUUUUCCCUGAUUUUUUUCCUCACUUCUCCAUGGCUAAAAGAGAAGCAAAUUCUAAGUGUUCAGAUUUACAAAAAAUGCUGUUAAGUUUAAAACCAAAAAUAAAAAAAUACUCAGGACAUUCUGCCCAGAAAUCAUUGCACUUUGCCUUCUGAUAGGCAGCUUUCUGUAAUGCACCACUCCCUCAUGUCUUUUCUUUGCUGUGUGGUACUGAACCCUCUCUAUUUGUGACACCAGCACCACCACCCUUGGAAAGGCUUUUUCAACACAGCCAGAGCCAGUGCUUGGUCUCCCCUGGAGAUCUGCCACAGGAGCUCACAAGGAACCCGAGCAGCACCAGAAGCAGUUUUGAUAAGGAAUUAGAUGAAAUCAGCUUUGUGCUGCACCAGUAUCAUCCUGCCUCCUCACAGUGGAUUCUGGAAGUGACUGCUUACUGAGAUGGCAGAGACCAUCAAAGUCCACCAAGACACCACGGAAGGAGAGAAAUGCCAUGGGAAGAAGGGAAGAAGUUGCUUAGCAACUCUCUUAUUCUGACAGCCAGCAGGAUGAAAGAAGUUGAAAAGAUAAAGGUAAAGGAAUUAAACAUAGAAACUUUGUCUUCUCCAAGGUUCUCAGCUGACCUGAGUCACAUUACUCAGAUGGUUUUUGAUGCGCUAAAUCAGCCUUUGCCAGCUGCACAUGCAGGGCAAAAAUAACAGGACUCAGCAGCUUCCCAGUGAAGAAAUAAAGCAGCAGAAACCCUGGGAAGGCAGAUUUGAUCACCAUCAGUAUCUACACAAAGCAGCCACUUGGAUUUCCGUUCACAAAUGCCAACAGCUUCCUCCCAGGCAGGCCAAAAAGUGAGUUUCUGAGCAAGCACCAGAGAUCAAACUCUAAAUACAGCCAAAUCAGGCCCAGCAGCUCCUGGGGCAUUUGCCAGCCAGCAGCAGCUGGAAUGGAGGCUGUAACCCCAACAGCUCACUUAAUCCUCUCAUUUUAGGCCAUAAAAAAAUCUUACAGAGGCCUCUGAAUUCCUAGAACAAAUGAUCACAUUAAGUUAAAAUGUGACAGGAGGAAUGAUGUAGGUGUUCAGAGAUCCCAGGACUUAAAGCUGGGCUUUCCAGCAGCUUCAGCCUGGGCAACACACAGACCCCCCAGCUGAGAUCCAGCAGAACAAGGGAUGUAAAUGAGUGUUUCUGUAGAUAACAGUGGCUUAAAAAUAAAAAUAAAAGUAUUGAUUUUUGCUAUUGUUGACACAGAAGAUCCAUCUGCAUGUAACUAGUGCAUUUCAGUCUAUAACAUAACUGAUAAAAGUGUAAUGGAACAUUAAUCUUAAUUUAGGGUUAAGUGCCUUAUGGGGGGGGGGGGAGGGGAGGAGGGAAGGAUCUGAUUUUAUAUAAGCCAAAGUACAGCCUCAGAGAGAGACAUUAACAGAUUUUUUUAUCAGUGUAUAAAAACCAAGACCGGUAUUGCAGAGCACAGCAGACUUAUUCAUAAGGAGAGGAGUAGGUAAUCCAAUUUUACAUGAUAAAAUCCCAAACUUUUGUAUUUUCACCAUGGCACUUAGCUUCCCUCAAUGGUUUGAGAGUGAAAAGGCAGCCCAGGCUGGCAAUUUCCCCCUGAGCCCCCAGGAUUUCUUUCUCUCCCUGCAAGCUGCCACACACCCUCACAGAAUACCAAUGACAUGGGAUGGGACAACUGGGAACCAAACCCAGGGGCUCCUGGGGAACAGGCCAGCACAGUGCAGCAAUAAAAAUCUGUUCAUUUUAGCAAAUCAAACUAAAGGCAUGAGGUAAAUACACUGCCCUGGUCCCUUGUCACUGCACAGGGAGGAAUUAAUGGGUGCAUUACAGGCAGAGCUUGAGGUGCAUGAUGUGCCCC
ensembl:lncRNA